GACGAACGCUGGCGGCGUGCUUAACACAUGCAAGUCGAACGGUGAAGCGCUUUCCUUUUUGGUUGGUGUGGAUGAGUGGCGAACGGGUGAGUAACACGUGAGUAACCUGCCCCCUUCUUCUGGAUAACCGCAUGAAAGUGUGGCUAAUACGGGAUAUUCUGCGCCUGCUGCAUGGUGGGUGUGGGAAAGAUUGUGCCUUUGGGUGUUUUCGGUGGGGGAUGGGCUCGCGGCCUAUCAGCUUGUUGGUGGGGUGAUGGCCUACCAAGGCGGUGACGGGUAGCCGGGCUGAGAGGGUGGACGGUCACACUGGGACUGAGACACGGCCCAGACUCCUACGGGAGGCAGCAGUGGGGAAUAUUGCACAAUGGGCGCAAGCCUGAUGCAGCGACGCCGCGUGAGGGAUGGAGGCCUUCGGGUUGUGAACCUCUUUCGCCAGUGAAGCAGGCCUGCUCCUUGUGGGUGGGUUGACGGUAGCUGGAGAAGAAGCGCCGGCUAACUACGUG
rnacentral:rRNA from 1 species